CGCUGUGAUAUGUUUUACUGUUUUGAAAGACUAAUAUUUGUGUUCAGCGAAGUCUCCCGAGUAAAACAAGUACCCCCCAUGUACAGGUUUUAGGAUGUCAUAGAAAGUUACAGGGUUAAACACAGUGCUAGCAAAUUAAAUUCUCUGGACUUUCCGCCUGGGUUCUCAGGCAUGUCCCUCAAAUUGCAAUCAAUAAUAAUCAAAAUCCCAAAAAUAAGUAUUGUACAAGCAUGAUCAUGAUCAUGGUGUUGUGGUUCUGAGCCAUGUACAUAGAUUAAGUUCCCAAAAGGAAAUAUGGUGGCACCCACGAAUGAGAGCUUCAGUGAGUAUAUGUCUCCAAACUCUCCUUUUACCUAUCUCAAACCUCACCUGUCCUAGUUCUGCAACCUCCUCCUACAAUUCCACCCUCUCCUCUCAACUAGACAUCAUGGUACCUUGUACAUUUAAACGCAGCAGGCCCCCCCAACAACAACCCUGGCACACGAAGCUCACUCAGUACUUCCAAAAAUGCUCCAGAACUGCUGAACGCUGUUGGAGAAAGUCUCACUGUGCAUCUGACUUUCUCCACUAUAAAUUUAUACUGAGCUCAUACAGCUUGGCUCUUUCCUCUGCAAAAGUUAAUUACCUUAAUACCCUCAUAACCACACUCUCCAGCGAACCCAAACGACUAUUUCACACAUUUAACUCUUCUUCUUCUUUGCCCUGCUGUUCCUCCUCCACCUACUCACUUGACCGCCUCAGACUUUGCAACUCACUAACAAGAUCUCUACAAUCAGAGAAGAGAUCUCUCAUCUUUCUUCUUCCCCUUACAAUACUUCCCCUAACUUCACUCCCUCUGCUGUUCUAUGUUCAUUCGCACCCGCUACAUUGGAAGAGGUUUCUGCUCUGCUCCAGUCCUCCCGCCCCUGCUCCCUAGAUCCAAUUCCCUUGCAUCUCAUCCGUACUCUGUCUUCUUCUCUUUCUCCACCUCUCACUAAAAUUCUCAAUCUCUCUCCCUCCUCUGGUAUAUUUCCAUUGCCCUUCAAACAUGCAACUGUAACCCCAAUUAUAAAGAAGCCCAAUCUUGACCCUAACUCCCCAUCCAACUGUCGUCCUAUCUCACUACUGCCUUUUGCAUCAAAGAUCCUUGAAAAAAUUGUGUGUGCGAGAUUGACAGACUUCUUCGAGUCCAACUCUCUGCUUGACCCGCUUCAGUCUGGUUUCCG